rnacentral:tRNA from 1 species
GGGCAUGUGGCGGAAUUGGUAGACGCGCUGGCUUCAGGAGCCAGUGGGGCCACCCCCGUGGAGGUUCGAGUCCUCUCAUGCCCA